rnacentral:rRNA from 1 species
GACGAACGCUGGCGGCGUGCUUAACACAUGCAAGUCGAACGAAGUGGCGAACGGGUGAGUAACGCGUAAUCAACCUGCCCUUCAGAGGGGGACAACAGUUGGAAACGAAUGCUAAUGCCGCAUACUGUAGGAGGGGAUUGCGUCUGAUGAGCUAGUUGGAGGGGUAACGGCCUACCAAGGCGAUGAUCAGUAGCCGGACUGAGAGGGUGAACGGCCACAUUGGGACUUAGACACGGCCCAGACUCCUACUGGAGGCAGCAGUGGGGAAUCUUCCGCAAUGGACGAAAGUCUGACGGAGCAACGCCGCGUGAGUGAUGACGGCCUUCGGGUUGUAAAGCUCUGUUAAUCGGGACGCGGUACCGGAAUAGAAAGCCACGGCUAACUACGUGCCAGCAGCCGCGGUAAUUC